GGACAGUGAAUGAUAAGUCUGGUCGGGUGUGAGUGAGAUAGUUAAGUUUGCCAAGCAGAUGAUGAUAUAAGGUGGGAUCCUGCACUGGUUCCCCUGUGUGAGCAGACAAACGAGUAGAUGAAUCGAGUGGAGAAGAAACAUGUGACAAAUGGAGAGAAUCAAAUUCUUGGAGAAGGUCUAAAGUGAAUUUGCGUUGAGAAAGGAGGAGUCCAUCUGUUUCUCGGACAACUUCCAUGCCUAGAAAAAAAUGUAAGUCCCCGAGAUCUUUUAUUUUGAAUUCUUGAUUGAGAAAUUCUUUCAAAGCAUGUAGUUCUGUGUUGUCAUUUCCUGUCAUGAGCAUGUCAUCCACGUAGAUAGCCACUAUAGAAAUGGAGGAAGCUGACCUUUUAAAAACAGGGAAUAGUCGUUGAAUGAGUGAGUGAAUCCCUUAAAAUUCAAAGCAGUGGUAAGUUUAGCAUACCACUGACGAGAUGCUUGUCGCAGUCCAUAAAUUGAUUUCUUUAACUUGCACGCAUGAGUAGGUGAAGUAGGUACAACCCCGGAUGGGAAUUUCAUGUACACUUCUUCAUUUAGAUCUCCAUGUAGGAAAGCGUUAUUCACAUCGAGCUGGUAUAGACCCCAACCUUUCUUUACAGCAGUGGCUAGUAUGCAUCUGAUUGUGGUCAUCUUCACCACAGGUGAAAAAGUUUCAUUGUAGUCUAUUCCCUCUUUUUGUAUGUCUCCUCUAAUGACCAAAUCUUGCCUUUAGUCUUUCCACACUCCCAUCUGAAUGGUGUUUAACUUUAUACACCCAUUUGCAUGGUAAAGCUUUCCUCCCGGGUGGUAAUUCAACCACUUCCCAAGUCUUAUUAAGUUCAAGUGCCUCAAGCUCUUUAUUCAUUACUUCUUGCCACCCUGGGUGAUGUGUUGCAUGUAAAUAGUCUGUAGGUUCUUGUAUAUUGGACAAUGUGUUUAGCAUAUGCUGAUUGGUAGAAGAUAAUCCACUAAAGGAUAUACAAGUAGGCGUAACUAGUGUGAGAAAGCAAGAGUUGCUAACAUCUGUGAGUUGGAGUGCAUUACAGAUAAAAUCCUUGAGAUAAGAUGGAGUUGUGUGUGGUCUGGUAGAUUUCCUAAUAAGAACAUCCAUCAUAGAAUCAGAAGCUAAAGAAGGAAAAACUGGUGCAGAUGUAUGUGGUUGACUAGAUGUUACUGGAGAAUCUGGAGAGAGACUAGAAGGAGAGAUAGAGGCACUAGGUGUAAUAGGAUGAUUUGAAGAAAUGGGGGGAGAAUAGAAGCCACUUAAUGAUUCAGUAGCCUCUUGGGAAGCUUUAGUGUGAGGUCUGAUAGUAAAAGGGAAAGGUUCAGUCUGAUGACUUGCAGAAGUUGGAGCAGUGGGUAAAGAAAUCUCAGAAGAAGAACUAGACUUAAUAGAAGUAAAAUGGAAAGAACUCUUCAUGAAAUACAACAUCUCUAGAAAUGAAAGGCUUCAAUCUCGAGAUUCAACACUUUGUAACCCUUUUUUCCAUGAGGAUAACCUAAGAACACACAAGGCAUAGCCCUUGGUUCAAACUUAGUUCUUUGAUUUGAGACAGUAGAACAAAACAUAAACACCCAAAACAUCUAAGGUUAGAGUACUUUAGUUUGCUUGAAAAAAGAACUUCAUAAGGAGUCUUAAGCUUUAAGACACUUGAAGGAAAUCUAUUGAUCAAAUAGGUUGCUGUAAGAAGGCAGUCACCCCAGUAUGAUAUAGGCAGGUGUGAUUGGUAUAAUAAGGCUCUGGAUGUCUCUAAAAGAUGUCUGUGCUUUCUUUCCACAACUCCAUUUUGUUGUGGUAUGGACACACAAGUGGUUUGAUGAAUAAUACCUAGUGACUCAAAAAAUUCUGAUUAAACUUUACCACUUCCUAAUUCAAAAGCAUUAUCCGACCUUAUAGUUUUCACCUUGCUGUUAAACUGUCUUUCUACCAUAGCUAAAAAACCUUUUAGAAUAGUGAAUGCAUUGGAUUUGUUAGUUAGUAGGUAGGUCCAUGUGCCUCUACUGAAGUCAUCAACAAUGGUAAGAAAAUACCUAAAGCCAUCAUAUGUAGCACUAUUGUAUGGUCCCCAGAUAUCCACAUGAAUUAACUCAAACACCUUCUUGGUAGAAAUAGAACUAGAGGGAAAAGGAAGUUUGGACUGCCUUGCCAUAGGACAAAUAACACAUGGAGUGAAGAAUUUGGAAGACUUGGAUAUAGAAACUGAUGAAACAUUUUUCAUAUUGCUAAAGGGCAUAUGGCCUAAUCUGUAGUGCCACACCUUUUCUUUUACAAUUGAAUCAGAAAAACUAAAACAUGUACGCAAACCAUGAUUGGAAACAGAAUUUCUUCUUGGAAUAAAAACACUUCUAAACUUAGGUGAACUGGAUCUGAGAAUGUAGAGCCCCCCUUCCUGUUUACCAAUCUCCAGUGGGCUCUUCACUGAAGGGCCCUGUAGAAGAAAACAUGAAAAUGGUGUGAAUAAAACAUAUUGCUUGAGUUGUCUGCACAACUUGUGCACAUACAACAGAUUAUAUUUAAAGGAUGGAAUGUAAAGAACAUUUCGAAGAAUCAGAUUAGGCAAAAGAGGGACAGUUCUUGAAUGAGUGACCUGAACUUUGUAAGAGUUUGAGAGUUUUACCAUGAGAGGUUUAGCCAAGGUUUUUAAAUCUGUAAAAAAAUCUUUGUUGAAAGACAUAUGUUCUGUUGCUCCACUAUCCAAUAUCCAAGACUCAUUAUUGAUUUGAAUUAAACAGGCUAAGUCUUCAAAUAAAUUGCUCAUACCAGCAUAGCUCACAUUUGCUGCAACAUCAGAGGUUCCUGCACUGUUUUGUCCCACUUUCACUUGCUGAAGAAGCUGCAGCAGCUCAG
rnacentral:lncRNA from 1 species